rnacentral:rRNA from 1 species
UACGGGGGGAGCAAGCGUUGUUCGGAUUUACUGGGCGUAAAGCGCGCGUAGGCGGCCUGGUAAGUCCGCUGUGAAAGUCAAAGGCUCAACCUUUGAAUGUCAGCGGAUACUGCCAGGCUAGAGUCCGGAAGAGGCGAGUGGAAUUCCUGGUGUAGCGGUGGAAUGCGCAGAUAUCAGGAGGAACACCGGUGGCGAAGGCGGCCCUCUGGACGGUGACUGACGCUGAGACGCGAAAGCGUGGGGAGCAAACAGG